rnacentral:rRNA from 1 species
AUUGAACGCUGGCGGCAUGCCUUACACAUGCAAGUCGAACGGCAGCGCGGGAGCAAUCCUGGCGGCGAGUGGCGAACGGGUGAGUAAUAUAUCGGAACGUGCCCAGUAGUGGGGGAUAGCCCGGCGAAAGCCGGAUUAAUACCGCAUGAGACCUGAGGGUGAAAGCGGGGGAUCGCAAGACCUCGCGCUAUUGGAGCGGCCGAUAUCAGAUUAGCUAGUUGGUGUGGUAAAGGCGCACCAAGGCGACGAUCCUUAGCUGGUCUGAGAGGAUGAUCAGCCACACUGGAACUGAGACACGGUCCAGACUCCUACGGGAGGCAGCAGUGGGGAAUAUUGGUCAAUGGAGGCAACUCUGAACCAGCCAUGCCGCGUGCAGGAUGACGGCCCUAUGGGUUGUAAACUGCUUUUGUACCAGAGAAAACCUAUCUACGUGUAGAUAGCUGAUAGUAUGGUAAG